AAUAGAUACCCGGGUAGUCCACCCCGUAAACGUUGGGAACUAGUUGUGGGGUCCUUUCCACGGAUUCCGUGACGCAGCUAACGCAUUAAGUUCCCCGCCUGGGGAGUACGGCCGCAAGGCUAAAACUCAAAGGAAUUGACGGGGACCCGCACAAGCGGCGGAGCAUGCGGAUUAAUUCGAUGCAACGCGAAGAACCUUACCAAGGCUUGACAUACACGAGAACACCCCAGAAAUGGGGGACUCUUUGGACACUCGUGAACAGGUGGUGCAUGGUUGUCGUCAGCUCGUGUCGUGAGAUGUUGGGUUAAGUCCCGCAACGAGCGCAACCCUCGUUCUAUGUUGCCAGCACGUAAUGGUGGGAACUCAUGGGAUACUGCCGGGGUCAACUCGGAGGAAGGUGGGGAUGACGUCAAAUCAUCAUGCCCCUUAUGUCUUGGGCUUCACGCAUGCUACAAUGGCCGGUACAAAGGGCUGCAAUACCGUGAGGUGGAGCGAAUCCCGAAAAGCCGGUCCCAGUUCGGAUUGAGGUCUGCAACUCGACCUCAUG
rnacentral:rRNA from 1 species